rnacentral:piRNA from 1 species
UGCCUCUCGCCAGCAUUAUUAAUUCCCUG